AUUGAACGCUGGCGGCAGGCCUAACACAUGCAAGUCGAACGAGUGGCGGACGGGUGAGUAAUGUCUGGGAAACUGCCCGAUGGAGGGGGAUAACUACUGGAAACGGUAGCUAAUACAGCAUACCAUCGGAUGUGCCCAGAUGGUAUUAGCUUGUGGGUGAGGGAACGGCUCACCUAGGCGACGAUCCCUAGCUGGCCUGAGAGGAUGACCAGCCACACUGUAACUGUUACACGGUCCAGACUCCUACGGUAGGCAGCAGUGGGGAAUAUUGCACAAUGGGCGCAAUCCUGAUACAGCCAUGCCGCGUGUAUGAAGAAGGCCUUCGGUUUGUAAAGUACUUUCAGCGGGGAGGCGGUACCCGCAGAAGAAGCACCGGCUAACUCCGUGCCAGCAGCCGCGGUAAUAC
rnacentral:rRNA from 1 species